AGGGAUGUGAUGCCAGCCUUGGGUUAGGUC
rnacentral:piRNA from 1 species